rnacentral:rRNA from 1 species
UACGUAGGGUGCGAGCGUUAAUCGGAAUUACUGGGCGUAAAGCGCACGUAGGCGGAUCGUUAAGUCGGGGGUGAAAUCCUGGAGCUCAACUCCAGAACUGCCUUCGAUACUGGCGAUCUUGAGUCCGGAAGAGGUGAGUGGAACUCCUAGUGUAGAGGUGGAAUUCGUAGAUAUUAGGAAGAACACCAGUGGCGAAGGCGGCUCACUGGUCCGGUACUGACGCUGAGGUGCGAAAGCGUGGGGAGCAAACAGG